rnacentral:rRNA from 1 species
GACGAACGCUGGCGGCGUGCCUAAUACAUGCAAGUAGAACGCUGAAGAGAGGAGCUUGCUCUUCUUGGAUGAGUUGCGAACGGGUGAGUAACGCGUAGGUAACCUGCCUUGUAGCGGGGGAUAAUUAUUGGAAACGAUAGCUAAUACCGCAUAACAAUGGAUGACACAUGUCAUUUAUUUGAAAGGGGCAAUUGCUCCACUACAAGAUGGACCUGCGUUGUAUUAGCUAGUAGGUGAGGUAACGGCUCACCUAGGCGACGAUACAUAGCCGACCUGAGAGGGUGAUCGGCCACACUGGGACUGAGACACGGCCCAGACUCCUACGGGAGGCAGCAGUAGGGAAUCUUCGGCAAUGGGGGCAACCCUGACCGAGCAACGCCGCGUGAGUGAAGAAGGUUUUCGGAUCGUAAAGCUCUGUUGUAAGUCAAGAACGAGUGUGAGAGUGGAAAGUUCACACUGUGACGGUAGCUUACCAGAAAGGGACGGCUAACUACGUG